CCUACGGGAGGCAGCAGUGAGGAAUAUUGCACAAUGGUGGGAAGACUGAUGCAGCAACGCCGCGUGAGUGAGGAAGGAUUUCGGUAUGGAAAGCUCUAUCUGCAGGGGAUCGAACCUAAGUUCCCGUAACCAGCCGCCCCGACUCACUACGUGCCAGCAGCCUAGGUAAGACGUAGGAGGCACGCGGUAUCCGGAUUUACGAGGUGUAAAGGGAGCGUAGACGGCGAUGCAAGUCUGAAGUGAAAGGCGGGGGCCCAACCCCCGGACUGCUGUGGAAACUGUAUGGCUGGAGUGCAGGAGAGGUAAGUGGAAUGCCUAGUGUAGCGGUGAAAUGCGUAGAUAUUAGGAGGAACACCAGUGGCGAAGGCGGCUUACCGGACUGUAACUGACGUUGAGGCUCGAAAGCGUGGGGAGCAAACAGGAUUAGAUACCCCUGUAGUC
rnacentral:rRNA from 1 species